rnacentral:rRNA from 1 species
UACGAAGGGGGCUAGCGUUGCUCGGAAUUACUGGGCGUAAAGCGCACGUAGGCGGCUCUUUAAGUCGGGGGUGAAAUCCUGGAGCUCAACUCCAGAACUGCCUUCGAUACUGUAGAGCUUGAGUUCGGGAGAGGUGAGUGGAACUGCGAGUGUAGAGGUGAAAUUCGUAGAUAUUCGCAAGAACACCAGUGGCGAAGGCGGCCAACUGGUCCAUUACUGACGCUGAGGUGCGAAAGCGUGGGGAGCAAACAGG